GCCUCUGGCGCAAUUGGCUAGCGCGUUCGGCUGUUAACCGAAAGGUUGGUGGUUCAAGCCCACCCGGGGGCG
rnacentral:tRNA from 1 species